rnacentral:lncRNA from 1 species
AUGGGCACAACAUUUUCUUAGGAUACAUGCUCUCGCACUUCCUCCAGAGCCUCCUUUCCCGAACACAGUAUGCCAAGAGCUAUUCAAUCACGCCAACAUGCUCAGCUGCAAUCCAUGCCUCACACCCAUAUAUACCAAGUCCAUGCUCUCUGCUCGUACCAGCACUACAACACAUGUGGCCUUCUGUGUGACGCUUGUGUGAUGAAAAUACGAUGCGUCGCCUAUCCCCUGUAAUAAAAGGUAUUCUAUGAUGAAAAUAAAUUUUUUCAGGCAUCUCUUUAAAACCUUGUCCAAAUUUUCAAGGCAUUCUUCGAAGUCUUUCCCAUAAACUGAGAAGUCGUUCAUGAAAACCUCCAUAAUAUUCUCUAUUAGAUCAGGUGCAUUCCAUAUAUAGACCAAAAGACAUUCGCCGAUAAGCGAAUGUUCCGUAGGGACAGGUGAAGGUAGUUUUGCUCUGGUCAUCCGAAUGAAUAGGAAUUCGAUGCUAACUAGAGUAUCCAUCGAGGUAGAAGAAGAACGAGUGCUUUGCUAGUCUCUCAAGCAUCUCGUCAAUGAAGGAGAGAGUGAAGUGAUCUUUUCGGGUAGCUUUAUUAAGCAUCCGGUAAUCGAUGCACAUCUGCCAACCUGUGGCUGUCCUUUGAGGAAUUAGCUCAUUCUUCUCAUUCUGGACAACUGUCAUACCUCCCUUCUUCGGAACAACUUGAAUUGGGCUGACCCACUCACUGUCUUGCAUAGGGUAGAUGAUGCCAUAGGGUAGAUGAUGCACACGUGCAGUAGCUUUAAAACCUCUUUCUUGACUACCUCUACCAUCGCAUUAUUAAGCCAUUGAUGAUGUUCUCUUGAUCUACCCGUAGAGUAGGAAUUGGUGUUGUUUAGAUCUUACUUGGAUACUUUUAGUGUAAUUUGUAUUUUGACCCUUGUAUUUAUCUCUAUUUACGCUUAGGACCUACCAAAGAGGAGUUGACCGAUGCGUAGGACUACCAGGGAGCUUUUGAGGACUACGAAGACUAGCUAGGUUCAUGCCCAUCUAUGGUUUGAACACCCAUUAGAGAUGUCAUGCUAGAAUGCUAUCGCUUUACUUUAUGUUAUGAUAAGAUAAACAUGCAUAGCCUACUUGUAAUCCUGUUCCUGGUAAUCCCAUGUUAUACUUGAUGAAUAUAUGAAAUGCUAUGCUUCGCUUGCAUCUGUAUGUGUGUCGAAUGGAGGGAUAGGAUUCUUGCCGUGUGUGGAGAUACUUUUGAGGGGGCGAGUAUAACUUAACUCGAUCCCAGGAUCGGGG